GUUCGCGCGUGUCUUAUCAUCUAUCAUGUGGUUUUGACACUUGUUUUGUAAUUUUCUUACUUUCUUAUUGAAACAAGUGUCAAAACCACAUAAUAAAUGAUAAGGCGCGCGAAC
rnacentral:pre_miRNA from 1 species